UGCAGAUUUUUCGGGCGACGGUGGCAUCCGUAACGAGAGGGAGAAAGAUCUGAUUCUUAUGGCAUUCAUCAGUAGAACACGCCUGACUCUCCUCCACCAGUCAUUCAAGGAGAACGGUCUAAUGCCUCCCAUCAGAAAGAGAGCCGGCCCAGGCAAGCACAGGUUACACCUGAAUCAUGAGGACUUACAGCGAGUGGUGAACUUCAUCAAAACUACACAGAGGAUAUUGUAUUAAUAGUAUUACCAGGACGCCACGUAGGACACAAACUUUGGAAAGCUGCUGCCAUCUCAUGUGACAAAAGCAGCAAUGUGGAAUCGAUGACACCACUUGAUGCACUAUCCUUCUGACCCUAUGCAGCCAGGUCCCAUCUAGUUUUUAACUCGUUGCAGGUGUGGCUUGUUUGGUGUCUGCUGUGAAGGAAUACCACAAGUCAACUACUUGAUUGAUGAAGGCAUGUCAUCUAGCAAAGGCAGCAGCGCAGUCAUCAACUACAUGCACGAUUUCUUCACCAACUACGGAGUUUGGGAAACAUGUGGGGGCCUGAAUUGUGAUAACUGCAGUGACCAGAACAAGAUUGUGCUGCUCCACCACAGUCUGGACCUUCACUUCCUUCACUUCCAACUCCAGUCAUGUAUGACAAAUAUAAUGUAGGAUAAUUCAUAUUAAUGUCUAAAGGCUUCUGUCAUUCAGAUAAGAAAGGCCAGUGUCUGUAUCGCACCACAACAAUCCGCCACCUUUCCUCAUAUACCAUUGAAACAAUUAGGGUUAUUUCGCUCAUGUUCUCAACUUCCUAUCAUUGUUCAGCAGCCAAAAGGCACAAUCCUAGUCAUAUUUACAACCCAUGCAAGUUGUUGCUUCGUUAGAUCUUCCCUCUUUGUAAAGGAUAUUUUAAUCUCUGUCAUAUGAAACCACUCGCAUUUGCGUUGUGCUUUGUGGAACGGUGUUUUCCUGCGUUCCUUUCAUUUUGGAACAUUCACGCUUAAAGCCUACUGCCGUGUGCGUAUUGCUGCACGUAUAAUGUGAAGAAAUAGCCUAAACAUUUUAAGCUAAACGUUCUGAUCUGUUAUAUCAGUCUCGUUGCUUUUAAACAUUUUUUUUUAUGUACAGUGGAUGUAAUUUGGGAUCUAUUGUCCCACAACUGUCCCAGAGUCUGUUUGGAAUACUUAUUCCUCGGACAGAAUGACCAGCUUGACCAAUAGAAUAGGUCAACGUUUGUACUAUGGGGGAUAGUAGAUUGACUAAAGCUAGCUCCCUUUGCUGUUCGUUACAUCUUGUGUGCUGAGGAAAUGUAAAAGUGGACAGUUAUUCUAACAUCUUCAAAAUGCUCCUUGGAAUUCGAUAAGAAGGACGCACGCCAUUGCAUCCCCGAUGGGUUUGUUUUCACUAGUAGCCUACGUCAGGGCUGCGAUGCCCGUGAGAAGGACCCAAUCACGUAACGGGCAUUGGUUAAUAAGAAUUGAGGUAUCUGAGAGAGCCAUGUGAGUGAGAGAGGGAAUUUUAAUUAUUAUAUUCAGCCGAAGGGCACAACGGACACUUUGGCCGCAAGGCAUGGAUUUUUUUAAGGGGCAUUACGGCCAGGGGGCAGUGACAGUCAAGGUAGUACAUGCCGCUGGGAAAUUAAAGGCCUGAUAUAGCAAAUAUGAUGUCCUCUAACCUCUCUCCCACUCCACAGAAGCUUAAGUAUAUGUUUACAGAAAUAAAUCAUUCCUGGAACACAAUGAUCAGCCCUGACUUGCAUGAGCCAAACCAGUUCGUUAUCUAUCUGCAAUACCCCACUG